GACGAACGCUGGCGGCGUGCUUAACACAUGCAAGUCGAACGGAAAGGCCCUGCUUUUGUGGGGUGCUCGAGUGGCGAACGGGUGAGUAACACGUGAGUAACCUGCCCUUGACUUUGGGAUAACUUCAGGAAACUGGGGCUAAUACCGGAUAGGAGCUCCUGCUGCAUGGUGGGGGUGGGAAAGUUUCGGCGGUUGUGGAUGGACUCGCGGGUUAUCAGCUUGUUGGUGGGGUAGUGGCUUACCCAGGCUUUGACGGGUAGCCGGCCUGGGAGGGUGACCGGCCACAAUGGAACUGAGAGACGGACCAGACUCCUACGGGAGGCAGCAGUGGGGAAUAUUGCACAAUGGGCGGAAGCCUGAUGCAGCAGCGCCGCGUGCGGGAUGACGGCCUGCGGGGUGUAAACCGCUUUCGCCUGUGACGAAGCGUGAGUGACGGUAAUGGGUAAAGAAGCACCGGCUAACUACGUG
rnacentral:rRNA from 1 species